rnacentral:rRNA from 1 species
UACGUAGGUGGUAAGCGUUGUUCGGAAUUAUUGGGCGUAAAGAGCGUGUAGGCGGUUUUACAGGUCCGCUGUGAAAACUCGAGGCUCAACCUCGAGCUGUCGGUGGAAACCGUAAGGCUAGAGUCCGGAAGAGGAGAGUGGAAUUCCUGGUGUAGCGGUGAAAUGCGCAGAUAUCAGGAAGAACACCAAUGGCGAAAGCAGCUCUCUGGGACGGUACUGACGCUGAGACGCGAAAGCGUGGGGAGCGAACAGG